AACGGUGAACGGUCGGUGUUUUCAGUUUUGAGUGAAUUUUUAUAAAUUAAGUUACCAAUAUCAAAAUAAAAAGGACAAAUAAUGUACCAGGCUUUCAGGCUUUAAAUUAUUAAAGAAAAUUAAAUAAUUCUGACUACUGAGGUAGAUUUGUUCAACUAUGUAGGGUACCCAACUUUUCUUCUUAGAAGUGAUGAGGAUUUUAUGGGUUUUAGUUUAAAGGCUAAACUAUUUAACAGAUAUUUUCUCAGGACUGCUUUUUUCUAGACAAAACACAGGGUGAAUACUGGAAAAAUGAGACAAUGGGUAAAGUGGGACAGUUAAGCUUCAUAAUUUUUAUCUGUAUGUAUAUCCUUCCAUGACUAAAAAUCAUCAUUGAGCUCAUCAUAAGCAACGUAGCUAUGGCACAACAAACUUGCAGUGAACCAAGAUGAGUCCCGAUCUCACCGAGCCCCCAGGAAAGUGUGUCGGGCUUUGAAGCCAAUUUGACAUAGCGACCAAACCGUGGAAUUACAACUUCCAGUGGCAGAUAGUUGCCCACCCUGAUUCUGGUUCUGCUUGAGGUUUCUGCCUCUUAAAAGUAAGUUUCCUUGCCACUGUCGCCAAGUGCUCCAAGACUGGAGUCAAAGCAGAUGAAGAGCUGAUCAGUCUUCCCGAUGGCCUGUGUGCGCCAGAUGUACUCCAAGGCCCUGACAGGGGACAGCAUAGACUGGCACUGCUGGACCCCCUGGUCUCCCCCAGAAGAGGAGAGUGACUGCAGCUCAACCGACUGCGACAGGUGCAACUCAGAUAGAAUCUUAGACAGGAAUGCCGGGUUGGGGCGGAGGACUACACUCGGCCCAUCUGGCAAGAACCUGCAGCAGUCAUUGUGACCGACAGUGCUUGGAGCUUGCUUAUCCUCCUGGCAGAAAUAUAGCUGGCAGAAACAUAGUUUUAAGGGAAGCCAUUUCAAAUCAGCAACCCCAAGGGGCUCAAAGGGGGAAUGCUGCACCAAGGACUAUAUCCAAGUCCCAUGAAGGUCUAGUCAUGCAAACUGUAUGCCUCUGGGCACCUCUAAGGAACUGGGAAAUCAAGGAGCAGCCAUCCUGAUUCAGUGUGUAUUUGCCAACAUGAACUGCUUUGAUUACCGCCACCAUACCUCGCAGGGUAACGGCAGACUUCCUCACCUCCAGUUUGAAUGCAAGAACAACAGGAUUUCCUGGACUGUGACUGAGAAAGGAUUCCGCCUCGUGGGCCCCACACCAAGUGGUAAAUACCCCCCAAUGGCAUGAGUAGGCAGCCCAUAGUGCCUGGGCCUCCUGCAUAGUUCUCACUACAGGCUCUUGCAAGCCUAGAGCCAGGAGUCUGUCCCUCUCAGGCCACCAAUCUGAGCCCCUCUGGGAAGGGGUGGAACAGGGUCCCACUCUCUGAAGCAGGACCUCCCAUGGCGUUCUGACCAGGACAGGUGGAAUCGCUGAUAAUCAUGUCAUGUGCAAAAGAGAAGCCACCAAAAUCAGCCUCACCCCUUCCACCACGGUUCAAUUGCCAGCUUGCAUAGGAUGGGGGAGCCUAGGCCCCACUGCCUGUUGAUGUAGGCUGCUGUCACUGCGCUGUCUGUCCCGACAAUGACAUGGUGAGUUCUCAAUCUCAGCAGGAACCAUUGAAGUGUGAGGAGAACAGCUCCCAGCUCCAGAACCUUAAUGUGCUGGGCCAAUCAAUGACUGGUCCAUUGUCCCUUGACCCCACAGCCUUUGUGGACAGCGCCCCAGCCUACGAUGUGUCUGAGAACCUUGAGGUUGAUAUUGGCAAACCACACUCCUCUUUUAUAUGGCUGACCUCAUUACAGAAGGUCGAGAAAACUGUAAGCGGUAUCCAUGGGUCACAGUGAACACAACCCAUGGGUCUGCUCCCAAAGCCAACCAUGCUGCCUUGUACCCACGAAAACCCUCCAGCUGAGGCCUGAGGUCCCUUUGGUUCCCAUACUGGGGCUUCUGGUGUUGGUUUAAGUAUAAAUGCCCUUGUCUGCCCAUAGCCCAUGAUGUGCCUAGAAAGGCUACCUGAAACCUCUUGUGCACAGCGGCAACUUACCCAUGCCUACUACAACAACUUAGCUGCAUCCGGUCCAGACAUAGCCGAAGGGUCCACUGGCAAUUUCAGUAAAUAGUCUCGAUCUGGCAUGGCAGCUGGAAUGGCAGCAACCCGGAAGCAAUCUCCUUCUUGUCUACCACUAGCAAUGUGGGAAUAAUAACGUUGUGGAGUUGACCGGUGCUCUGAAAGCCACACGCUUGUUUUUUUUUUUUAUUGUUUUAAAUGGGAGAGAUAGAGGAGACGUCCGCUGUUAGCAGGCCCACUUGGCUCAGCUGGCUCAUAGAUAAAUAAUCUACGGUGCGCACGCUACAGCUAUUGCCAAGUGCACAUGGAAGUAGGAACAGUACAAGUGUAUUGAGUUUGUCACUUCCGUGUUGUAGUAGAUUUCUAAAUGCUCAGGACACAUAGAUCUCUACAAUCACCUUUGUAAAUCGGCGAUACGCCAUUUUCCAACCAUGAUUGGUGCAGUGCUUUCCGCAUGGUUCACAACCUAAUAACAGAGCUUUUGAUUGGAGAGGCGAGAGUCAACAUGUCUGCCAGCAAUCUCAAACUUUUUACUGUUUUGGUGAAAGUUGUAUUGUCUGCAUUAGAUAAAUAAGUACAUGAAACAUUGAAUUAUCGCUUUUGUUAUUUUUUUAACGUGUCC